CCGAAAGCCCGCCCGUCCGACCGACGGGGCGGCGGUUUCCAUUUUGAGCCGAGCACCCCGGGACCCCUCCCAGGGGCCGCACGACUCACUCCGGCCCCCCGACUUCGCCGCCGCUCCCGGCGGGGCCAGGAUGUUGCUAAGUUGGGACGCACUGAAGAUAAAACCCACCCAGCAACGCACAACUUUCCGCGCGGGCUUGGGAGCCGAGCCGCAACUCCCCCGCACCCACAUCGUAGCUUCUUAAACAAUGAAAAAGAAAAAAAAAAAGUUAACUUUGCUAAGCACCCAAGUUUCUUUCUUAAAGGCAUGUUGCCCGAUCCUUUUCCCCAAACUCCAAGACCAGGGGGCGGACUUUCGUUCGUUUCGCGCAGUUUCUUGGUGACUUGGUAAUGAGUUCCAGAUUUCAGGACUGAGCGGGGUGCGUGUAAAACCACAAACGAGAAGGCCGAUUCCUCGAACUUCCUCGGCUUUUCCAGCUCCGAGCGGGCGCUCCCCUCCCUCGCCACCGGGGCGCGGGCUCCCGCGGCCAGCCUGGCCCCCUAGCUCCGGGGUUGUUUACCGACCCCGCCGACGGUACGGGUUUGUUCCAGCUCCCAGCGCCCGUCUCUAUAAUUAAACUUUUUUUUUUUAA